CGUACUUGGCGCCCCCGGGGAUGGUCUCCUUCAUCCACUUGGGCUUGGGGAGAGGCCGCUUCUUGGUCCCGACCUCCACGGAGUAGACGAAGUCGGCAAGGGCGGGUGCCUCCUCGGCGAGGCGCCGGCGGAGGUCGGCGAGCGUCCGGGCGGGGGGCGGCUGCAAGGAGCGUACGGUCUGUACCGGAGGCUCGGCAGCGGCGGAGGAGAGAGGCCGGAUGCCGGAGAAGGAUCGGGCGGCGAUGUUGCCGAAGAGGAGGAGGCGAGACCGCUGCAUCGCGUCGCCC
rnacentral:lncRNA from 1 species